rnacentral:rRNA from 1 species
UACGUAGGGGGCAAGCGUUAUCCGGAUUUACUGGGUGUAAAGGGAGCGUAGACGGACGGGCAAGUCUGAAGUGAAAGGCAGGGGCUCAACCCCUGGACUGCUUUGGAAACUGUCCAUCUAGAGUGCCGGAGAGGUAAGCGGAAUUCCUAGUGUAGCGGUGAAAUGCGUAGAUAUUAGGAGGAACACCAGUGGCGAAGGCGGCUUACUGGACGGUAACUGACGUUGAGGCUCGAAAGCGUGGGGAGCAAAC